rnacentral:rRNA from 1 species
UGAGGGAAUAUUUGGGGUCAAUGGGCGAGAGCCUGAACCAGCCAAGUAGCGUGCAGGACGACGGCCCUAUGGGUUGUAAACUGCUUUUAUACGGGAAUAAAGUGAUGCCUGCGGGCGUUAUUGCAUGUACCGUACGAAUAAGGACCGGCUAAUUCCGUGCCAGCAGCCGCGGUAAUACGGAAGGUCCAGGCGUUAUCCGGAUUUAUUGGGUUUAAAGGGAGCGUAGGCCGCCCCUUAAGCGUGUUGUGAAAUGCCGCGGCUCAACCGUGGCACUGCAGCGCGAACUGGGGGGCUUGAGUGCACGCAACGCAGGCGGAAUUCGUGGUGUAGCGGUGAAAUGCUUAGAUAUCACGAAGAACUCCGAUUGCGAAGGCAGCUUGCGGGAGUGCGACUGACGCUGA